rnacentral:rRNA from 1 species
GAUGAACGCUGGCGGCGUGCCUAAUACAUGCAAGUCGAGCGAACGGAUGAGAAGCUUGCUUCUCUGAUGUUAGCGGCGGACGGGUGAGUAACACGUGGAUAACCUACCUAUAAGACUGGGAUAACUUCGGGAAACCGGAGCUAAUACCGGAUAAUAUUUUGAACCGCAUGGUUCAAAAGUUAAAUACGGUCUUGCUGUCACUUAUAGAUGGAUCCGCGCUGCAUUAGCUAGUUGGUAAGGUAACGGCUUACCAAGGCAACGAUGCAUAGCCGACCUGAGAGGGUGAUCGGCCACACUGGAACUGAGACACGGUCCAGACUCCUACGGGAGGCAGCAGUAGGGAAUCUUCCGCAAUGGGCGAAAGCCUGACGGAGCAACGCCGCGUGAGUGAUGAAGGUCUUCGGAUCGUAAAACUCUGUUAUUAGGGAAGAACAUAUGUGUAAGUAACUGUGCACAUCUUGACGGUACCUAAUCAGAAAGCCACGGCUAACUACGUG